rnacentral:misc_RNA from 1 species
AACGAUCUGCUUCGCGGAAUUUAUGCCUAUGGGUUUGAGAAGCCGUCGGCAAUCCAGCAGAGGGCAGUUAUGCCCUUAAUCAAAGGCCGAGAUGUGAUAGCUCAGGCUCAAUCCGGUACUGGCAAGACCUCCAUGAUUGCGCUCACUGUUUGCCAACUCGUCGAUACCUCUAGCAGAGAGGUCCAGGCAUUGAUAUUGUCACCUACAAGAGAACUGGCUGCUCAGACGGAGAAAGUAAUAUUGGCCAUUGGUGAUUACAUUAAUAUCCAAGCACAUGCAUGCAUUGGAGGCAAAAG